rnacentral:rRNA from 1 species
UACGUAGGGGGCAAGCGUUGUCCGGAAUCAUUGGGCGUAAAGCGCGUGUAGGCGGCUUCGUAAGUCCGUUGUGAAAGUCCAGGGCUCAACCCUGGAAUGCCGAUGGAUACUGCGGAGCUAGAGUCCGGAAGGGGCGAGUGGAAUUCCUGGUGUAGCGGUGAAAUGCGCAGAUAUCAGGAGGAACACCAAUGGCGAAGGCAGCUCGCUGGGACGGUACUGACGCUGAGACGCGAAAGCGUGGGGAGCAAACAGG